rnacentral:RNase_P_RNA from 19 species
CGAGUUGGCCAGACAGUUGCCGCGUUCGCAAGAACGGGGAGGAAAGUCCGGGCUUCAUAGAGCAGGGUACCAGGUAACGCCUGGGCGGUGUGAACCGACGACAAGUGCAGCAGAGAGGAGACCGCCUGCUUGAUUUAUCAAGUAGGUAAGGGUGAAAGGGUGCGGUAAGAGCGCACCGUGCGGCUAGUAAUAGUCCGUAGCAAGGUAAACUCUACCCGAAGCAAGACCAAAUAGGGUUCCAUACGGCGCGGCUCGCGUUGGAACCGGGUAGGUCGCUUGAGCCUGUGAGCGAUUGCAGGCCUAGAUGAAUAACUGUCCACGACAAGACCCGGCUUAUCGGCUUACUCUUUGG